CUUGUAUAUUUAAGUGUCGAUGUGAUAUUUUAAAUAUUCGCAUAACUCUUAAUGGAUUUGUCACCCGUUUCAUGGCUAAAUUCAUCCUUUUUAGAUUAUAAUCCUUGUUGCAACGAUGCUUACCUACAAUUCUGGUCGCCUAAUAUGGUAUUUGCCUCCAAUGUUUGUGCAACUUGCUUGUGGCCGUGGACAUUUCCAUGAUGGAACAGCCAAAUGGAUUAGGGAUAAAUACAUGGCCAAGAUAGAUGAGGUGUUGAAGAUAUAUGUGCCUAUUUGGCAUGACCAUUGGUUUUUACUGGUCCUUGACAUGUUGGCAAAGUAGCUUCUGUACUUGGACUCCGCACGUUUGGCUAAGCAAAGAGAAUCACAUGUCCUGCAGAUUAAGAAAGUGGUAAAUUACUUGUUGUACUAGUGAAAGUAUAGAGCUUACUGGUAAGACUUUCAGUCUUGUUCUAAACUUGUAUUAUUUACAGGCCUUGUUCUUGGAAGAGAUAGCCUUAGAUGAGUCUUGGUAUGCUUGUAAAAGGCAUGAAAGGCCAACUAUCUCUGAAUUUAAGCUAGUGGAACCCGAGGUCAAUCAGCAAGAAGUUGGAAUAAAUGAUUGUGGAGUGUGGGUUUGUCAAUGGAUGAUUUUAUCUCGAUUGUCGGGGUCUCACAAUGUAGAGAAGGUUACUGAGUACACUAGAAUGAAGUUGGCAAUUGACUUGGUGCUAAAACCACAUAAUGAAAUCCGUCAAGACAUUAUCAAUAAGGCAAUGGAAAAUUGGAGGAGACUCUCCCAAGUUUAGGAUCUUUUGAUGUCGGAAGAACUCCUACCUUAGAGCCUUUA